UGCGGCUGAAUCCCCUCCUUU
rnacentral:rRNA from 1 species